rnacentral:rRNA from 1 species
AACAUCUCUUCUUGUUAAGUUUUUGAAGUAUGGCCUGCCCACUGAUGGAUUUGAAGGGCCGCGGUAUCUUGACCGUGCAAAGGUAGCAUAAUCAUUAGUCCUUUAAUUGUGGACUGGAAUGAAUGGUUUGACGAGGUGCUAUCUGUCUUUGAAAUAUUUAUGUCGUUGAAUUUGGUGUUUGGGUAAAAAUACCUAGAUUUAUUUAUGGGACGAGAAGACCCUAUAGAGUUUAAUAUUAUUGGCUUUUGGUUAUGUUUGUCUCAUUUUGUUUAUGCUAAUAUUAUUUUGUUGGGGUGAUGGGAAGAUAAAGAUAACUCUUCCUUUGAAUUGUUUCAUUUAUUUGUGUAUUUUUGAUCCUUUAUUAUUGAUUGUAAGAUUAAAUUACCUUAGGGAUAACAGCGUAAUCUUUCCUGAGAGUUCCUAUUGACGGGAGGGUUUGCGACCUCGAUGUUGGAUUAAGGUGAAUUUUUGGUGUAGAAGCUUUAAGAAUAUACUUAUUAGGUCUGUUCGACCUUUAAAAUCUUACGUGA